UCGGGAAUUUUGGGCAAUGGGGGAAACCCUGACCCAGCAACGCCGCGUGAAGGAUGAAGUAUUUCGGUAUGUAAACUUCGAAAGAAUAGGAAGAAUAAAUGACGGUACUAUUUAUAAGCUCCGGCUAACUACGUGCCAGCAGCCGCGGUAAUACGUAGGGAGCAAGCGUUGUUCGGAUUUACUGGGCGUAAAGGGCGCGUAGGCGGCGCGGUAAGUCACUUGUGAAAUCUCUGAGCUUAACCCAGAACGGCCAAGUGAUACUGUCGCGCUAGAGUGCAGAAGGGGCAAUCGGAAUUCUUGGUGUAGCGGUGAAAUGCGUAGAUAUCAAGAGGAACACCUGAGGUGAAGACGGGUUGCUGGGCUGACACUGACGCUGAGGCGCGAAAGCCAGGGGAGCAAACGGGAUUAGAUACCCAAGUAGUCCCUGAGCGGGCUGGCAAGGCGCAU
rnacentral:rRNA from 1 species